GAGUGUUUGCUCGAGUGGUUAAUGGGGUGGACUUGAAAUCUACUGGACGCGGUCCGCGUGGGUUCGAACCCCAUAGCACUCA
rnacentral:tRNA from 1 species